rnacentral:rRNA from 1 species
AACGAGAAAGUGGAGCAAUCCAUGAGUAAAGUGGCGUACGGGUGAGUAACACGUGGGUAAUCUACCUCUUGGAGGGGAAUAACCCUGGGAAACCGGGGCUAAUACCGCAUAAGACCGGAAGGUGAAAGGUGAAAAUCGCCGAGAGAGGAGCCCGCGGCUGAUUAGCUAGUUGGUGGGGUAAAGGCCUACCAAGGCGACGAUCGGUAGCCGGCCUGAGAGGGCACACGGCCACACUGGCACUGAAACACGGGCCAGACUCCUACGGGAGGCAGCAGUGGGGAAUCUUGCACAAUGGGGGCAACCCUGAUGCAGCGACGCCGCGUGAGCGAUGAAGCCCUUCGGGGUGUAAAGCUCUUUCGACCGGAACGAUAAUGACGGUACCGGGAGAAGAAGCUGCGGCUAACUACGUGCCAGCAGCCGCGGUAAUACGUAGGCAGCGAGCGUUG